AACGUAGGUGGCGAGCGUUAUCCGGAUUUACUGGGCGUAAAGGGUGUGCAGGCGGACUGUUAAGUGGUGCAUGAAAUCUCCGCGCUUAACGUGGAGAGGCUGUGCCAGACUGGCGUGCUGGAGUGUGGCAGAGGGAGGUGGAAUUCCACGUGUAGCAGUGAAAUGCGUAGAGAUGUGGAGGAACACCGAUGGCGAAGGCAGCCUCCUGGGCCAGCACUGACGCUCAUGCACGAAAGCGUGGGGAGCAAACAGG
rnacentral:rRNA from 1 species